rnacentral:rRNA from 1 species
GUGGGGAAUCUUAGACAAUGGGGGAAACCCUGAUCUAGCCAUGCCGCGUGAGCGAUGAAGGCCUUAGGGUUGUAAAGCUCUUUCAGCUGGGAAGAUAAUGACUGUACCAGCAGAAGAAGCCCCGGCUAACUCCGUGCCAGCAGCCGCGGUAAUACGGAGGGGGCUAGCGUUGUUCGGAAUUACUGGGCGUAAAGCGCACGUAGGCGGACUGGAAAGUCAGGGGUGAAAUCCCGGGGCUCAACCCCGGAACUGCCUUUGAAACUCCCAGUCUUGAGUUCGAGAGAGGUGAGUGGAAUUCCGAGUGUAGAGGUGAAAUUCGUAGAUAUUCGGAGGAACACCAGUGGCGAAGGCGGCUCACUGGCUCGAUACUGACGCUGAGGUGCGAAAGCGUGGGGAGCAAACAGGAUUAGAAACCCUGGUAGUCC